AUUGAACGCUGGCGGCAUGCCUUACACAUGCAAGUCGAACGGUAACAGGUCUUCGGAUGCUGACGAGUGGCGAACGGGUGAGUAAUACAUCGGAACGUGCCCGAGAGUGGGGGAUAACGAGGCGAAAGCUUUGCUAAUACCGCAUACGAUCUCAGGAUGAAAGCAGGGGACCGCAAGGCCUUGCGCUCACGGAGCGGCCGAUGGCAGAUUAGGUAGUUGGUGGGAUAAAAGCUUACCAAGCCGACGAUCUGUAGCUGGUCUGAGAGGACGACCAGCCACACUGGGACUGUGACACGGCCCAGACUCCUACGGGAGGCAGCAGUGGGGAAUUUUGGACAAUGGGCGCGAGCCUGAUCCAGCCAUGCCGCGUGCAGGAUGAAGGCCUUCGGGUUGUAAACUGCUUUUGUACGGAACGAAAAGACUCUGGUUUAUACCUGGGGUCCAUGACGGUACCGUAAGAAUAAGCACCGGCUAACUACGUGCCAGCCGCCGCAGUAAUAC
rnacentral:rRNA from 1 species